GACGAACGCUGGCGGCGUGCCUAACACAUGCAAGUGGAGCGACGAACCAGGGCUUGCCCUGGAGCAAAGCCGCGAACGGGUGAGUAACACGUGGGUAACCUGCCCCGAUGAUUGGGACAACCCGAGGAAACUCGGGCUAAUACCGAAUGUCCCCUGCCGGCCCAAGCCGGCGUGGGGAAAGGAAGCUUCGGCCUCCGCAUCGGGAGGGGCCCGCGGCCCAUUAGCUAGUUGGUGAGGUAAAGGCUCACCAAGGCAACGAUGGGUAGCUGGUCUGAGAGGACGAUCAGCCAAGCUGGGACUGGGACACGGCCCAGACUCCGACGGGAGGCAGCAGUGGGGAAUCUUGCGCAAUGCGCGAAAGCGUGACGCAGCAACGCCGGGUGGGGGAAGAAGGCCUUCGGGUUGUAAACCCCUUUCAGGAGGGACGAAGGUGCGGCGGCGAAUAGCCGACCGCACUGACGGUACCUCCAGAAGAAGCCCCGGCUAACUACGUGCCAGCCGCCGCGGUAA
rnacentral:rRNA from 1 species